AACGAGAGAUCGAUCCCUUCAGUUCGGCUGGACCGGAGACAGGUGCUGCAUGGCUGUCGUCAGCUCGUGUCGUGAGAUGUUGGGUUAAGUCCCGCAACGAGCGCAACCUCGCCCUUAGUUGCCAUCAUUCAGUUGGGCACUCUAAGGGGACUGCCGGUGAUAAGCCGCGAGGAAGGUGGGGAUGACGUCAAGUCCUCAUGGCCCUUACGGGCUGGGCUACACACGUGCUACAAUGGCGGUGACAAUGGGACGCAAUGGGGCGACCCUGCGCAAAUCUCAAAAAGCCGUCUCAGUUCGGAUUGUGCUCUGCAACUCGAGCACAUGAAGUCGGAAUCGCUAGUAAUCGCAGAUCAGCACGCUGCGGUGAAUACGUUCCCGGGCCUUGUACACACCGCCCGUCACACCAUGGGAGUUGGCUUUACCUGAAGGCGGUGCGCCAACCGCAAGGGGGCAGCCGACCACGGUAGGGUCAGCGACUGGGGUGAAGUCGUAACAAGGUAAGCGUAGUGCU
rnacentral:rRNA from 1 species